rnacentral:rRNA from 1 species
GAUGAACGCUGGCGGCGUGCUUAACACAUGCAAGUCGAACGAAGCACUUUAUUUGAUUUCCUUCGGGACUGAUUAUUUUGUGACUGAGUGGCGGACGGGUGAGUAACGCGUGGGUAACCUGCCUUGUACAGGGGGAUAACAGUUGGAAACGGCUGCUAAUACCGCAUAAGCGCACAGCAUCGCAUGAUGCAGUGUGAAAAACUCCGGUGGUAUAAGAUGGACCCGCGUUGGAUUAGCUAGUUGGUGAGGUAACGGCCCACCAAGGCGACGAUCCAUAGCCGACCUGAGAGGGUGACCGGCCACAUUGGGACUGAGACACGGCCCAAACUCCUACGGGAGGCAGCAGUGGGGAAUAUUGCACAAUGGGCGAAAGCCUGAUGCAGCGACGCCGCGUGAGCGAAGAAGUGUUUCGGUAUGUAAAGCUCUAUCAGCAGGGAAGAUAAUGACGGUACCUGACGAAGAAGCACCGGCUAAAUACGUG